CAACUACAUCCAAGGAAAACCUCAGCAGUACUACAUGUUGAGCACCAACACAAUCGAACCACAUCUCUAGCCUUAAUGCUGGGAGGAAAGUGCUGCUGGGGGGGGGGGGGUUUACAAAACCUGGAUGGUUACGAGUCACUGUGCCUAGCAAGAUUGUGAUUUUUUUUUUUUUUUUUAAACCCCAUUAGUUACACCAUGCAAAACACUGUCACUGGUUUAAAUGCCCUUGUAUGAAUAGU